CCAAUAGCGUAUAUUAAAGUUGUUGCAGUUAAAAAGCUCGUAGUUGAAUUUCGGGAUCAAUUUACUGGUCGUGCAAUAGUACGUACUGGUUUUAUUGGUUUCUACCUUCUGAUGAACCAUGAUGCCAUUAAUUUGGUGUCAUGGGGAAUCAGGACUGUUACUUUGAAAAAAUUGGAGUGUUUAAAGCAGGCUCACGCUUGAAUACAUUAGCAUGGAAUAAUGAAAUAGGACGUUUGAUUCUAUUUUGUUGGUUUCUAGGAUCGACGUAAUGAUUAAUAGGGAUAGUUGGGGGCAUUAGUAUUCAAUUGUCAGAGGUGAAAUUCUUGGAUUUAUUGAAGACUAACUACUGCGAAAGCAUUUGCCAAGGAUGUUUUCAUUAAUCAAGAACGAAAGUUAGGGGAUCGAAGACGAUCAGAUACCGUCGUAGUCUUAACCAUAAACUAUGCCGACUAGGGAUCGGAUGAUGUUAAUUUUUUAAUGACUCAUUCGGCGCCUUACG
rnacentral:rRNA from 1 species